rnacentral:rRNA from 1 species
AAUUUUGGACAAUGGGGGAAACCCUGAUCCAGCCAUCCCGCGUGUAUGAUGAAGGCCUUCGGGUUGUAAAGUACUUUUGGCAGAGAAGAAAAGGUAUCUCCUAAUACGAGAUACUGCUGACGGUAUCUGCAGAAUAAUCACCGGCUAACUACGUUCCAGCAGCCGCGGUAAUACGUAGGGUGCAAGAGUUAAGCGGAAUUACUGGGCGUAAAGCGUGUGUAGGCGGCUCGGAAAGAAAGAUGUGAAAUCCCAGGGCUAAACCUUGGAACUGCAUUUUUAACUGCCGGGCUAGAGUAUGUCAGAGGGGGGUAGAAUUCCAAGUGUAGCAGUGAAAUGCGUAGAUAUGUGGAGGAAAAACGAUGGGGAAGGCAGCCCCCUGGGAUAAUACUGACGCUCAGACACGAAAGCGUGGGGAGCAAACA